rnacentral:rRNA from 1 species
GUGGGGAAUAUUGGGCAAUGGGGGAAACCCUGACCCAGCAACGCCGCGUGAGGGAAGAAGGCUUUCGGGUCGUAAACCUCUGUCCCAUGGGAAGAGGAGAAGACGGUACCAUGGGAGGAAGCCCCGGCUAACUACGUGCCAGCAGCCGCGGUAAUACGUAGGGGGCGAGCGUUGUCCGGAAUGACUGGGCGUAAAGGGCGCGUAGGCGGCCAGACAAGUCUGGAGUGAAGGUCCCGCUUUCAAGGUGGGAAUGGCUUUGGAAACUGUCUGGCUUGAGUGUGGGAGAGGAUAGCGGAAUUCCCGGUGUAGCGGUGAAAUGCGUAGAGAUCGGGAGGAACACCAGUGGCGAAGGCGGCUAUCUGGACCAAGACUGACGCUGAGGCGCGAAAGCGUGGGUAGCAAACAGGAUUAGAAACCCCAGUAGUCC